GCACUAGUAGCUCAGCUUUCAGAGCGUCGGUCUUGUAAGCCGAAGGACGAGGGUUAAACUCCCCCCUACUGCU
ensembl:Mt_tRNA